UACAGAGGGGGCAAGCGUUAUUCGGAAUUAUUGGGCGUAAAGGGCGCGUAGGCGGCCUGGCAAGUGGAAGGUGAAAUCCCUCGGCUUAACCGAGGAACUGCCCUCCAAACUGCUUGGCUUGAGACCGGGAGAGGUGAGUGGAAUUCCCAGUGUAGCGGUGAAAUGCGUAGAUAUUGGGAGGAACACCAGUGGCGAAGGCGGCUCACUGGACCGGUACUGACGCUGAUGCGCGAAAGCGUGGGGAGCAGACGAGG
rnacentral:rRNA from 1 species